AACGAACGCUGGCGGCAUGCCUAAUACAUGCAAGUCGAACGAGAUCUUCGGAUCUAGUGGCGCACGGGUGCGUAACGCGUGGGAAUCUGCCCUUGGGUUCGGAAUAACUUCUGGAAACGGAAGCUAAUACCGGAUGAUGACGUAAGUCCAAAGAUUUAUCGCCCAAGGAUGAGCCCGCGUAGGAUUAGGUAGUUGGUGAGGUAAAGGCUCACCAAGCCGACGAUCCUUAGCUGGUCUGAGAGGAUGAUCAGCCACACUGGGACUGAGACACGGCCCAGACUACUACGGGAGGCAGCAGUAGGGAAUAUUGGAAAAUGGGGGAAAGCCUGAUCAAGCAAUGACGGGUGAGUGAUGAAGGCCUUAGGGUUGUAAAGCUCUUUUACACGGGAUGAUAAUGACAGUACCGGGAGAAUAAGCACCGGCUAACUCCGUG
rnacentral:rRNA from 1 species